GAUGAACGCUGGCGGCGUGCCUAAUACAUGCAAGUCGAGCGAAGCGGGGACGGGUGAGAAACACGUGGAUAACCUCCUCUAAGACUGGGAUAACUUCGGGAAACCGGAGCUAAACCGGACUCGUAUUGAUGGAUCCGCGCUGCUUUAGCUAGUUGGUAAGGUAACGGCUUACCAAGGCAACGAUGUAUAGCCGACCUGAGAGGGGUAUCGGCCACACGGGAACUGUGACCCGGUCCCGACUCCGACGGGAGGCAGCGGGAGGGAUUCUUCCGCAGUGGGCGGAAGCCUAGCGGAGCAACGCCGCGUGAGUCAUGAAGGUCUUCGGAUCGGAAAACUCUGUUAUUAGGGAAGCGGUACCUAAUCAGAAAGCCACGGCUAACUACGUGCCAGCAGCCGCGGUAAUAC
rnacentral:rRNA from 1 species